CUCUAUACAAACAAAAAGUCAUGAGAGGAGCCAGAGUGAGAAUCAAAGCUGCGACGGUUCCUCUCCCAGAGCCACCUCGUUGCCAGACGCUGCGCUCCACACCAUGCGGCCGCACUUGAAAAAGUGUUUGGCUCUGACAAAGGUUCAAGUGGGCGCCCUGCACCUCCAAUAAGGCAACAUACAUGUUCACCCUUGUUUUGUCGCAGGAUCGGACUCAUUCCAAUUCAAAGCCAAGAUGAGGGAGGAAAAAGUGCUUAUUUUCCCCUACACCCAGACACUAGAGAUUCACAGAUAAGGCCGACCCCAGAAACUGCGGUAGAUGCAUUUCCCCCAGCGUCCAUAUGAAAGGCACAGUGAGAAAACUCUAGAAAUGGAUUUCUUAAUAAUACAAUUUCAUGUUUAAACGGUAAACACAGAGCAAGCCCUUUUGGUU